rnacentral:rRNA from 1 species
GUGAGGAAUAUUGGUCAAUGGGCGGGAGCCUGAACCAGCCAAGUCGCGUGAAGGAAGAAGGAUCUAUGGUUCGUAAACUUCUUUUGCAGGGGAAUAAAGUGCAGGACGUGUCCUGUUUUGUAUGUACCCUGAGAAUAAGGAUCGGCUAACUCCGUGCCAGCAGCCGCGGUAAUACGGAGGAUCCGAGCGUUAUCCGGAUUUAUUGGGUUUAAAGGGUGCGUAGGUGGUUUGAUAAGUCAGCGGUGAAAGUUUGCAGCUUAACUGUAAAAAUGCCGUUGAAACUGUCGGACUUGAGUGUAAAUGAGGUAGGCGGAAUGCGUAGUGUAGCGGUGAAAUGCAUAGAUAUCACGCAGAACUCCGAUUGCGAAGGCAGCUUACUAAGCUACAACUGACACUGAAGCACGAAAGCGUGGGGAUCAAACAGGAUUAGAUACCCCGGUAGUCC